UACGUAGGGGGCAAGCGUUGUUCGGAAUCACUGGGCGUAAAGCGCACGUAGGCGGAUGUGUCAGUCAGGGGUGAAAUCCCGGAGCUCAACUUCGGAACUGCCUUUGAUACAGCACAUCUGGAGUCCGGAAGAGGUGGGUGGAAUUCCUAGUGUAGAGGUGAAAUUCGUAGAUAUUAGGAAGAACACCGGUGGCGAAGGCGGCCCACUGGUCCGGUACUGACGCUGAGGUGCGAAAGCGUGGGGAGCGAACAGG
rnacentral:rRNA from 1 species